UGGAAUUGGCGGGGGAGCACUACAACGGGUGGAGCCUGCGGUUCAAUUGGAUUCAACGCCGGAAAGCUUACCGGGUCAGACAGCAAUAUGAAGGUCAAGCUAAAGACUUUACCGAAUUCGCUGAGAGGAGGUGCAUGGCCGUCGUCAGUUCGUAUCGUGAGACAUCCUGUUAAGUCAGGCAACGAGCAAGACCCGUGCCCACAGUUGCCAGCAUACCCUCCGGGGUGAUGGGCACACUGUGGGGACCGCCGCUGCUAAAGCGGAGGAAGGCGCGGGCUACGGUAGGUCAGUAUGCCCCGAAUCAUCCGGGCUACACGCGGGCUACAAUGGUUGGGACAAUGGGCACCUACACCGAGAGGUGAUGGUAAUCUCCUAAACCCAGCCUUAGUUCGGAUUGAGGGCUGCAACUCGCCCUCAUGAAGCCGGAAUCCGUAGUAAUCGCGUAUCAAUAUCACGCGGUGAAUACGUCCCUGCUCCUUGCACACACCGCCCGUCAAACCAUGCGAGUGAGGUCUGAAUGAGGGCACGCUUUUUGGCGUGUUCGAAUUUGGGCUUCGCGAGUGGGGUUAGUCGUAACAAG
rnacentral:rRNA from 1 species